GAUGGAAUAGUACAGUUGAGUCUCAAUAAUGGGAUUAUUGAGCUUUAGUUUGGAAUCCAAGGAUCAAACGAUGGUGGAGGGGUCCACUUUUGACCUUAUCUUCCUUGCUCUGUACCCUUAUUAUGCUUAUGUUAAUUAUUUCUUGUGAGGCUUUGGAUUGUGAUGUGACCAUCGCUGGAAAUCUUGAAUCUUCUUCCCUUGGCAUAUUACCAUCCAGGACCUGUCUAUGGUACAGAUUCUGUAACAAACAUUUCCCGUCAUCCCACCAUCCGAUUGUCUAUUGUUUAGUUUCUUACCCCACAUCCAACGGCUGAUGCUGCAGUCUGUAGCUUACAGAUUCUGUAAGCUAGUCAAAGUCCUACCAUCCAACCUUGGAUUUAUGGAUUAAUUUCGUUUGACUACCUAAAAGAAUAAUUUUUUUAUUCUUUUAGAUAUUAAUUUAUCUUAAUUUUUAUUAAGAAGAUAAAAAAAAUUCCAUUAAUUCAUCUUUAUUUCUUCCUCUUUUCUUUUCUUUAUUUUACUUUUAUUCGCAAAUUUUCUGAAACCUGAAUUCCAAAACUAGGAGGGGUCCACUUUUGACCUUAUCUUGCUUGCUCUGUACCCUUCUUAUGCUUAUGUUAAUUAUUUCUUGGGAGCUGGCUAAGUUACAGAUUCUGUAACAUACAGAUCCAACUUAGCCAGCUCCUGAUUGGUUAGCUAGCUACCAAACAAAAAC
rnacentral:lncRNA from 1 species